rnacentral:lncRNA from 1 species
GGCAAGUCAUCACUAUGAUUGGGAAAGAAGCCAAAAUUAUAAUAAAAUGAAAACCUGUGCAUCAAAUCUGAAGGAUGAGUAUAAAAUAGGAUAAACAGUCUUAAAUGAAGAAAUUCAAAAAUAGGAAGCUGAAUUACUUCUCUGAGGAUGUCUUGUCACUAAAACAUGGAGAAUCCAACCUACCCUGCGUAGUUGUGGAAUCCCUCAGAUGACAGCAGUGAAGAAUAAGGAUGAAGAUAGCACAUUCUCAUUGUCAUUAAGAUUAAAAUAAUCAAGAUGUAUGAACUGAGCACAGUAAGAUCAGAGACAUAAUAUGGACUCAGCAAUGCUGGCUGAUUUUGCGGGAUUAUUAAUGAAGAUGUUAAAUAAGAAGAAAGCAACAUCCUUCCCCAUGUACUGCAGUUGAAUUACUAAUCACUUCACGAAUGCUGAAGAAAGCAUUUUAAAAAAGUUUUUUCUGCAAUAUAUACAACCUACACUGAAAAAUCUUAAGCUAUAUGUACUUCAUUCAAUUCAUUCAUGCAUACGAAUAUUCAAAACCUUCAUUUAAGCUCAAAGGCCAUGGAGAUAAAAAAGAAGACAAAUUAACCAGUUGACAAGGACCUAGCUGUCCAAUGUGUUGACUUUGUUGUUACACAAUAUAGUCAAUUCUCAUUAUUCACCAAUUCUGUGUUUGCAAAUUCCCCUAUUUACAAAACUUUAUCUGUAAACCCAAAACUAAUACUCACAAUGCAUCCAUAGACGUGUGCAGAGCAGUGGAAAAUUUGAAAAGUUGCCUGAUGCUCACAUUUUCAGCUAAGGUGAACUUUGCCUGCUUGUCUCAGUUCUCAUACUAUAAACAAGCAUCCUUUUUGCAGAUUAUUUAGUGCCUUUUUUUUUUUUUUUUGCAUUUUUGUGUUUUUGUUGGUGAUUUCGAUGUUUAAAAUGGGCCCCAAGUAUAGUGCUGAAGUGCUGUCUGGUGUUCUUAAGCACAGAA